UAGAACCCCGCGAGGCAGGGUGAGGGGCGCCACCGAGGAAGCGCCCACCGGGCUCCCGGGGCUGCCAGGCCCCAAAUUGAGGAAGUUGACUGCCAGAUCACACUCUGUUGGCCCACGCAUUCCAUUCAUCCUUUCUAAUGUCUACACCAUAUUUUGGAUAACAUGCCAUCAUCUCACAUUGUGUUGAAAGAAGAAACCAGAAUGUUGGGGUUGAUGUAUGCCAUAUGGAUGAAUUUAAACAGUUUCGGCCUUGCAAUAAUUGGUAUACUUCUAAUUGCAUGUGAAAUUAUACUCUUUUUAACGAAAGAUGAAACUAUUCAGUGGCCACAUGUACCCAGUAACAGAGGGAGCAAAGCAAAUCUUAUCCUCAAAGAACUGCAGCUGCUUGUUAGAUCUACCUGGUGGUUCCAUAGAGAAACUGCUCAGAGAACCUGCCUUUACCUCGCCUAAAACAGAACUAUCCCGGAGCUCAGCAAAGGAGUCCAUUCAUCCUCUAUAACUGCUAUACAAUAUCUCUGUUAAAAUGCUGAGAAGAUUUAUCCUAAAAGAAGGCACCAAAGCAAUGGGGUUCAUCAACUCAGGAUCCAGUAGUGUAAUACAGAAGCCUGUUACGAGAUAUAAGAUGGUUGGUAUGAUGCUUUUACAAUAUUUACUACUCUGCACCAUCUUAGAGAUGACCAUUGUAAUCAUAAUCAUCCAGUGGGUUGUAAGAGCAUUUCAUCAUGAAAAACACACUGAAGAAAG
rnacentral:lncRNA from 1 species